GUCCGAUGUUGCAACCGAUGUUGUGUCUGGCCUUCCCGCUUUUUUGUAAAGAGCUUGGGCUUGCCAACUCUAACCUUACCCGUUCUGGGAAGUGUGGUGUGCUUCUUUACAGGUUUCUUCGAUCAUCGGCAGACGUAGUAUCGAUAUUUUUGAGAAUUUAAUGCAUGUGUUCGAGUGUACUCAUACGAAAAUUGGGGAGAAAGUUUAGGAGGUGCCGAUUCUGCGUUGAUUACAGGUCUGAAGGAGAAAAGGGGAAGUAUGGAUGACAGUUUGUAAACUACGGUGGGCCGGAGGUAGACACGAACGAGGAGAACUCUGAGCAGGAGGAAGAGGAAGAAGGGAGACGUGAUGAGUCUCUAGAGGACGGGUUUGAUGACGAUGAGGACGAUGUCAUGGAUGCCCGGCGAGGGGGGGGGGGGUGAUUGUGCUGGCGGAGGAAAAGAAGUAUUAUUCCCACUGCCAUGGAAGUGUAUGGCGAGGGUGUGUAGACGUUUGUUACUUCUUUAUAAUCCUUCCGAAGAGCCCAUCAUCAAACCUAGAAACCUGAAGAAAUUUGAGGUGGUAGCGAAGGAGGUGUAGAGACACACGCCGUGAGCACAUCAGCCUCUAACAAGGAAAAGCACUUGCGGUUCACGGACACUAGGAUUGACGAGCAAGAGCGGCAAAUGUCAAUCAGGAGCGUAAUCUAUGUCUCUUUUGUCAGAAAACUGUGCAGGAAAAUCUCAUUUGUGCAACACAAUGGACACACCAUUCCACAUGAACUACGCAGAUGGUAAGUAACCCGUCUUGUGUAGUACAGAAACCUGAAUUUGUUUGUUUGACAUGAACAAGCUGCUUGAUGAAAUGAAAACCGUUCACAGAUUUAGAUCCAGUAGCAUUAUUGUGUGCCUCUUACAUCUUUGCAACAUAAGUGGUUAACCUCUUGAAGCUAUAAACAUUGUUUCCAUCCGCCAGCUCCCAUCACAUUCUAAGUAUGAAUUUCACAUCUUCCAUGAGUCAUAAUAGGAUAUCUUUGUCAAUGAUUGUAAUAUAAAAAUGGCUAAGCUGGUUUAGUUGCACAUAUUUUGUACAUAUUUAGUUGCACAUAUCUUGGUCAUGACAAUAGUGGGAGUUAUUUUGUUGAUUGUUGAUUAUUAUCUGCAACAAAGCUGAAGUUUUAACCAUGAUUAAGGUUGAAGUCUUAAACCAUGCUUAGUAUAUGGUAGAAAUGGAAAUGUAUAUAGUAUCAUAAAUCAAAUCAAAGGCCUUUAGUUUA